rnacentral:rRNA from 1 species
AGUGAACGCUGGCGGUAGGCCUAACACAUGCAAGUCGAACGGCAGCACAGUAAGAGCUUGCUCUUACGGGUGGCGAGUGGCGGACGGGUGAGGAAUACAUCGGAAUCUACUUUUUCGUGGGGGAUAACGUAGGGGAACUUACGCUAAUACCGCAUACGACCUACGGGUGAAAGCAGGGGAUCUUCGGACCUUGCGCGAUUGAAUGAGCCGAUGUCGGAUUAGCUAGUUGGCGGGGUAAAGGCCCACCAAGGCGACGAUCCGUAGCUGGUCUGAGAGGAUGAUCAGCCACACUGGAACUGAGACACGGUCCAGACUCCUACGGGAGGCAGCAGUGGGGAAUAUUGGACAAUGGGCGCAAGCCGAUCCAGCCAUACCGCGUGGGUGAAGAAGGCCUUCGGGUUGUAAAGCCCUUUUGUUGGGAAAGAAAAGCAGCAGGUUAAUACCCCGCUGUUCUGACGGUACCCAAAGAAUAAGCACCGGCUAACUUCGUG